rnacentral:lncRNA from 1 species
UUUAAUAAUCUAUUCAAAAAUAGAUUCAAAACACUUGAAAAAUCUAUUCAAAACAGAUCUAAAAAUCUAUUCAAAACAGAUUUAAAAGUCCUCGAGAAAAUCUGUUCAAAAUAGAUUUUGAAAAUCUGUUCAAAACAUAUUCAAAAUUUUUACAGAAAAAUUAUAAAAUCAGAUUUGAUUCCUUUUCAUUAAGAUCUGAUCAAAAUCAGAUCAAAAUUUCAAGAAAAUCAGAUUAAAAUCAGAUCUGAUUUCAUAACAAAAUUCUGGUCAAAACCAAAUUUGAAAUUCUGCACACAUUAAACAUACCC